UUGUCUACAAGCUUGGUUAACAGCGGUUUCUUGUCCAGUUUAGAUCCAUGAUUGGCUGAUGAUUUAAUUGGUAUUCCAGUGUCAACAACAAAUUCACCUGAAUCAAUGGAACUCGUGUCUGUUGAAUAAUUUCCAGAAGGAUCAUAAUUGACUUUCCUUUGGUCACUUGUUUCAAUUGGAUGGCAACCGUUGACUGGUUUACAUAUGGCUGUUGAUGACGCUGAGUUCAUUGUUUCCAUUUUUACCAAAUGUUCCAGAAAAACCUAGUAUUGUUUACAUAUUUCAUCAAUAGUGAUAACAAAAGACAACAUUUAUUAAUUUAAUUAGUUAACUGUUUUGAAAUGGUUAAGCAGUGCCAAACCAAACAAAAGGACAUCAUCAUGGAAACCGCUAUCCUGAACAUUCUGUUAUAGCCUUGCAUAAAUCAUAAUUAUUUUUUAGCGUUUUUCUAACUUACCCACAAGGCCUCAGCACUGACUGGAGGAAAAAAAGACGAAGAAACGAUGUGUUACACUACUGAUGCCACUUCUUUACUGUUGAUGAAUGUUGCUGAUUGUCGCCAACCUUGAUGAUAAUUUGUUUGGUUAAAGUUUGUAAACACAGAAGACAAAACUAACAAUAAGAAUAAGUAAUCAACCGUUCAGUAGGUGAUUAACUGGAAAAGAAAAGAUAAUUUGACGAUGAUAAAACAAAAGGCAUGAUUAAUUAACCAGAGAGAUGGAUAGAUGUCGGUUUAUGAUGAUUAAGGCUAUUGGAUAAAUACAAUUGGAGCAAAUCUAUGGUUAACAAGUGUAGACUUAUUUCCCUCGGAAACAACCAGAAUUUUUAUUUGUGUGCUCAUCUUUUGGUUAUGUUUGAUUUAAACAAUAAGCUAAUGAACAGCUUUUCCAGGUGAUGCAAGUUAUAAUGAGCGUAAAUGCUGGAAAUCAUUUAAUGAUAAACCGUAAAUGUGUUGCUGAUAAGUGUUAGGAUUAUUCAUUUUAUCCUGUUUAUCAACUUGACUAUAACCGAUUAAGAUUACUUUGCAAUUUUCACCAGUUGACCGCAAGUUUAUUUUUAGAUUAAAGGUAAGAAAUGGUCAAGUGUUUCAAUGAUUAUUAAACAAUUCAUUACAAUUUAUUA